rnacentral:rRNA from 1 species
AUUGAACGCUGGCGGCAUGCCUAACACAUGCAAGUCGAACGGGGCAGCAAUGCCUAGUGGCGGACGGGUGAGGAAUACGUAGGAAUCUGCCCUUAAGUGGGGGAUAACCAGGGGAAACCCUGACUAAUACCGCAUGAUCUCUUCGGAGCAAAGAGGGGGACCGCAAGGCCUCUCGCUUCUGGAUGAGCCUACGUCUGAUUAGCUAGUUGGUAGGGUAAAGGCCUACCAAGGCGACGAUCAGUAACUGGUCUGAGAGGAUGAUCAGUCACACCGGAACUGAGACACGGUCCGGACUCCUACGGGAGGCAGCAGUGGGGAAUAUUGGACAAUGGGCGCAAGCCUGACGCAGCAACGCCGCGUGAGGGAAGAAGGCCUUCGGGUUGUAAACCUCUUUCAGGGGGGACGAAGCCACCGGGGUUAAUAGCCCACGGGGUGACGGUACCCCCAGAAGAAGCCCCGGCUAACUCCGUGCCAGCCGCCGCCGUAACAC